GUCCAGGGAUGGGAAUCGAACCCACAGUGUUCCGCUUACCGGGCAGAUGUCAUGUAACUAGGCUACCCUGGA